rnacentral:misc_RNA from 1 species
GAAAUGCGAUAAGUAAUGUGAAUUGCAGAAUUCAGUGAAUCAUCGAAUCUUUGAACGCAUCUUGCGCUCCUUGGUAUUCCUUGGAGCAUGCCUGUUUGAGUAUCAUGAAAUCUUCAAAGUAAAUCUUUUGUUAACUCAAUUGGCUUCUACUUUGGUAUUGGAGGUCUUUGCAGCUUCACACCUGCUCCUCUUUGUUCAUUAGCUGGAUCUCAGUGUUAUGCUUGGUUCCACUCGGCGUGAUAAGUUAUCUAUCGCUGAGGACACUGUAAAAGGUGGCCAAGGUAAAUGCAGAUGAACCGCUUCUAAUAGUCCAUUGACUUGGACAAUACUUUUAUGAUCUGAUCUCAAAUCAGGUAGGACUACCCGCUGAACUUAAGCA